UCUAGAACUCGAGAUAUGGGCUGAACACUGAACAGUGUCUGGGCUAUAGGACAUAUUCCGACUUCUCUUUUAUUGCUACAAUCUGAACUUGAAAACGACUGUUUUGAAUCUUGGACUUUUCAUGAAAGUUUUAGGCCUAUGUCUUAGCUUUCCAUC
rfam:Populus trichocarpa scaffold_9_contig_65, whole genome shotgun sequence.